rnacentral:rRNA from 1 species
CCUACGGGUGGCAGCAGUGAGGAAUAUUGGUCAAUGGGCGCGAGCCUGAACCAGCCAAGUAGCGUGAAGGAUGAAUGCCCUACGGGUUGUAAACUUCUUUUAUAAAGGAAUAAAGUGAGGCACGUGUGCCUUUUUGUAUGUAUUUUAUGAAUAAGACUAGGCUAACUCCGUGCCAGCAGCCGCGGUAAUACGGAGGAUCCGAGCGUUAGACGGAUUUGUUGGGUUUAAAGGGAGCGUAGAUGGGUGGUUAAGUGAGUUGUGAAAGUUUGGGGCUCAACCGUAAAAUUGCAAUUGAUACUGGCAGGCUUGAGUACAGUUGAGGUAGGCGGAAUUCGGGGUGUAGCGGUGAAAUGCUUAGAGAUCAGGAAGAACUCCGAUUGCGAAGGCAGCCUACUAAACUGCCACUGACAUUGAUGCUCGAAAGUGUGGGUAGCAAACAGGAUUAGAUACCCCAGUAGUC